UGGGGAAUAUUGCACAAUGGAGGAAACUCUGAUGCAGCGACGCCGCGUGAGGGAAGAAGGUCUUCGGAUUGUAAACCUCUGUCUUUGGGGACGAUAAUGACGGUACCCAAGGAGGAAGCACCGGCUAACUACGUGCCAGCAGCCGCGGUAAAACGUAGGGUGCAAGCGUUGUCCGGAAUUACUGGGUGUAAAGGGAGCGCAGGCGGAAUGGCAAGUUGGGAGUGAAAACUACGGGCUCAACCCGUAGACUGCUCUCAAAACUGCUGUUCUUGAGUGGUGUAGAGGUAGGCGGAAUUCCCGGUGUAGCGGUGGAAUGCGUAGAUAUCGGGAGGAACACCAGUGGCGAAGGCGGCCUACUGGGCACUAACUGACGCUGAGGCUCGAAAGCAUGGGUAGCAAACA
rnacentral:rRNA from 1 species